rnacentral:lncRNA from 1 species
GGGACUCAAGAUGGCGCUGUGAGAACAACCCAGGAUUGGAGCCCGCGUUGAAUUCGCAAACGAUUCUCAAAGGUUCCUGUGGAGCCACACCACCUCCUGUAUUGGCACUUCAUUAGGCCAAGGCUGCUUUCUGAAAGGAUCUGGCUGGUAGACCGUGACCUUGAUCCCUGCCUCUAAGCCUAGCUUUAUUCUCAUCAGCCACCACCUUUUUGGCGCUAGAACAGUGCUUUU